rnacentral:rRNA from 1 species
ACGCGUGAAGUUGACCGCCUGGGAGUACGGCCGCAAGGUUAAACUCAAAGGAAUUGACGGGGACCCGCACAAGCGGUGGAUGAUGUGGAUUAAUUCGAUGCAACGCGAAAAACCUUACCUACCCUUGACAUGUCCGGAAGCCUGAAGAGAUUUGGGUGUGCCCGAAAGGGAACCGGAACACAGGUGCUGCAUGGCUGUCGUCAGCUCGUGUCGUGAGAUGUUGGGUUAAGUCCCGCAACGAGCGCAACCCUUGUCGUUAAUUGCCAUCAUUCAGUUGGGCACUUUAACGAGACUGCCGGUGACAAACCGGAGGAAGGUGGGGAUGACGUCAAGUCCUCAUGGCCCUUAUGGGUAGGGCUUCACACGUCAUACAAUGGUCGGUACAGAGGGUUGCCAAGCCGCGAGGUGGAGCCAAUCCCAGAAAGCCGAUCGUAGUCCGGAUUGCAGGCUGCAACUCGCCUGCAUGAAGUCGGAAUCGCUAGUAAUCGCGGAUCAGCAUGUCGCGGUGAAUACGUUCCCGGGUCUUGUACACACCGCCCGUCACACCAUGGGAGCGGGUUCCGCCAGAAGUAGGUAGCCUAACCGCAAGGGGGGCGCUUACCACGGCGGGGUUCGUGACUGGGGUGGAGUCGUAACCAGGUAACCGUA